UGAUGAUGAUGAUGAUGAUGACGAGGAGGAGGAUGAUUCUAAGGUCUGUUUCCCACGACGCAUACUUUGUAUCUCGCCGUCAAUAUCGCCAUCCUCCUCAUCAUCAUCAUCUAUA
rnacentral:miRNA from 1 species